UGGCACAUGAGCUGAUGCCUGUGGCAGGA
rnacentral:piRNA from 1 species